UACAGAGGCCUCGAGCGUUAGGCGGAAUCACUGGGCUUAAAGCGUGUGUAGGCGGACUUCUAAGUACCUUGUGAAAUCCCACGGCUCACCCGUGGAACUGCUCGGUAUACUGGUCGUCUUGAGCCUUCUAGGGGCGAGUGGAACAAAUGGUGGAGCGGUGAAAUGCGUAGAUAGUCAUUUGGAACGCCAAUGGUGAAAACAACUCGCUGGGGAAGUGCUGACGCUGAGACACGAAAGCCAGGGGAGCGAACGGG
rnacentral:rRNA from 1 species